GUUUGAUCAUGGCUCAGAACGUACGCUGGCGGCACGCCUAAUACAUGCAAGUCGAACGAAGUAGCAAUACUUAGUGGCAGACGGGUGAGUAACAUGUGGGUAUCUUCCCUUUGGUGAGGAAUAACACGAGGAAACUUGUGCUAAUACCUCAUAAGUCUUUACGGAGAAAGCUUUAUGCGCCAAUGGAUGAGCCCGCACUUGAUUAGUUUGUUGGUGAGGUAAUGGCUCACCAAGACUUUGAUCAAUAGCUGAUUUGAGAGGAUGAUCAGCCACAUUGGGACUGAGACACGGCCCAAACUCCUACGGGAGGCAGCAGUAGGGAAUCUUGCACAAUGGGGGAAACCCUGAUGCAGCGAUGCCGCGUGAGUGAAGAAGGCCUUUGGGUUGUAAAGCUCUUUCGUCGGGGAAGAAAAUGACUGUACCCGAAUAAGAAGGUCCGGCUAACUUCGUGCCAGCAGCCGCGGUAAUACGAAGGGACCUAGCGUAGUUCGGAAUUACUGGGCUUAAAGAGUUCGUAGGUUGUUAAAAAAGUUGGUGGUGAAAUCCCAGAGCUUAACUCUGGAACUGCCAUCAAAACUUUUUAGCUAGAGUUUGAUAGAGGAAAGCAGAAUUUCUAGUGUAGAGGUGAAAUUCGUAGAUAUUAGAAAGAAUACCAAUUGCGAAGGCAGCUUUCUGGAUCAUUACUGACACUGAGGAACGAAAGCAUGGGUAGCGAAGAGGAUUAGAUACCCUCGUAGUCCAUGCCGUAAACGAUGUGUGUUAGACGUUGGAAAUUUAUUUUCAGUGUCACAGCGAAAGCAAUAAACACACCGCCUGGGGAGUACGACCGCAAGGUUAAAACUCAAAUGAAUUGACGGGGACCCGCACAAGUAGUGGAGCAUGUGGUUUAAUUCGAAGAUACGCGCAGAACCUUACCAACACUUGACAUGUUCGUCGCGACUUUAAGAGAUUAAAGUUUUCGGUUCGGCCGGACGAAACACAGGUGCUGCAUGGCUGUCGUCAGCUCGUGUCGUGAGAUGUUGGGUUAAGUCCCGCAACGAGCGCAACCCUCACUUUUAGUUGCCAUCAUUAAGUUGGGCACUCUGAAAGAACUGCCAGUGAUAAGCUGGAGGAAGGUGGGGAUGACGUCAAGUCCUCAUGGCCCUUACGUGUUGGGCUACACACGUGCUACAAUGGCAUUUACAACAGGAAGCAAAACGGCGACGUUAAGCAAAUCCUAAAAAAAUGCCUCAGUUCGGAUUGUACUCUGCAACUCGAGUACAUGAAGCUGGAAUUACUAGUAAUCGCGGAUCAGCGCGCCGCGGUGAAUACGUUCCCGGGUCUUGUACACACCGCCCGUCACACCAUGGGAGUUGGUUCUACCUUAAGGCAAAGGUUAAAAACUUUGACCACGGUAUAGUCAGCGACUGGGGUGAAGUCAUAACAAGGUAACCGUA
rnacentral:rRNA from 1 species